rnacentral:piRNA from 1 species
UCAAUUCUUGUAUUCCACCCA